GUUCAGGACUGGAUUUUGUCUCCCGAAUUUGUUUCUGUUGCGUGCCUGAGGUCUGGGCUGUGCCUAAGGACUUACUGCUACCCAGGAACUGAACAUUGCUGGGCCCUGCCAUGGCCUCAGAGAGUGACCCUAAUUCUUCCAUGGACCUGUGCAAAACAGAAAACAGAACAAGGACGGAAGGAGGCAUAUGAACAACAAGAGAGGUGUGCUGUGGGAAUUGUAGAAUCCUCUCUCUGGGUAAUGAUGUAAGAUCUGUCCUGUAGAAGAGGAUACUUGUAUUUGUUCUGAGGGACCAAAAGCAUAUAAAGAAGUAACUUGGGAGGCAUCAAAAAAGACAAUAAAACCUGGAUUUCCAUAAUUGAAUUGACUGCUUAUGUCCUUUUCCUGUGUGACACAAAACUAAGUUAAUGUAAGUGGGUAACAGUCCUUUGGCGUUGAGAUGGCACAAUUGUCUCUUUUAGGAUGCUUAGGACAGGGGUCAAUUGAGCCAACAUUCCUGUAGGAAGUACAGGUGUAUUCAAAAUAUAAAGGGAUACAAUUAAGUCACAGUGAACUUCUAUCGGUUGAAUAUUUUGAUUAGCUUUCUCAAUCUCUACACAGGGCGUGAGACUUAGAAGUGAGGAUACUCGAAGAGGCUAGGUCAGAACCUCCAUUAGCAACAUAAAAAGAGGUAAUGGUACCCUGACUCUCAAGUACCUUUACAGAUAUGAGAGUAUGGCAUUUAACAAAAGAGCUUCAUAUGACAGAGAGACAUGCUAGCUCCUGCAGCAUCCUGUAGCUCCUCCAAGAAGAUGCAUGGUUGCAGAAGAUCUUCCACCUGGAGGCUUGCCUUUGGGUAUGGCAAAGCCACUCACACAACAAAAAGCUGCCUUCCACCUCAUCAGCUUCCUGGAUACUACACCGGGCCUCGAACAUCUCAUGCUACCAAGAUAGGUAGACUGAACCCUACCUGCACAGAAAAAUCUUAGGGCCUCCUGGUCCCAUCAGCUAAAUGCAAGUACUGCUUUUAAGACUGGUGUGUGCUAAAGACUAUGGUGAGACUUGGGAUUGCCUGUGAAACUGAGAAAAGCUGUCUCGCUUCUACUCAUUUAUUUAUCCCGCUCAGAUUUGUCUGAUGGCAUUGGAUGACUUAAGGUACUGGUAAUACUACUUCUUUUGUUAAGUUUCCUGCUAAAAAUAUAGACAGGUGUGCCUCCUUCACAGGUUUCAUAGUCCAGGAUUAAUAGGCUUCAGGUGUAUCUUUAGAGGUUCAGAGUUUCAAAUUUCCUUUAUUUGGUCUGGUAAAAAACUAAGUCUCCAGAACCUAUUUGAAACCCACCCAUUUUCAAGCAUAUUUUACAGGUCACUCUUGCUGUCUGGGCCAAAACCAACUUAUAGAGGGCUCUCCAGAUAAUGUCAGCACCUGCACCAGCUCCUGGGACUUCACCCAUUGGUACCACCUCUCCUGGCUCAAAUGGACACCUACCCAACAACUAAAAUCUGGUUUUAAAGGGCAUAUCUUGUUUUUUUCACUCGUGCCUCUGCUGUGCAACCAGGACACUUCUCUGUCCUAUUCUUUCUGGCAGUUAAUCACUCUCCCCAUGGAUAGCCCUAUUCAUAGGGCUGGUAAUAACAAUCUAUUUUUUUCUCCUAGCAACCUGCCUUCUCAUCUCCCUCAAGGAACAGAUGCCUGGGAUCUCCAAGAUUGCAUUUAACUGGAUGCCUCUCCAGCCACACCUCCUGCUUAGUGUGAGCCCACCAACUCCCUACUGUCCCCUCCCCAUGUCACCCUGUGCCCACAGGAAGUAGUCAGACUUGAGCUGGUGCCCCUAUAUACUCAAAGAGUCUGGGAUGUUUGGGUGGAAGUCCCAUUACAAGCCCCCUUCCCUGGGAGUUGCCUCAGUCCAGACUCCACCUCUGAGAAAGCCCGCCAAACAAUGACCCCUCCCCAGAGAUGCUCAACACCCCUCCCAUAGGGUAUUUACAUUGUAUCCCAGAGAUCAAACUUGUCUUUCUCUGGUCUUCCUUCCCUGUCUCUUCUCUGGGGAAGGUCAUUCAGGAGCACUGGUAUCCAUUAAACCCGGGCUUUUUCUAAUUUGGUUUGAUUAGUUUGAUUUGGAUUAUUGUGUUGACGGAGAGGUUUAUUAGGGUGCAGAAACUUUUCAGAAACUUUAGUUCAUGGGUAUAAGGUAGUAACUGCAAUGGAGGAAUAGAGAUUUUCAGGGCUUGUCAAUAGGUAACGUUCCUCUUGAAGACGUAAGUGUGGUGAGCCCACAAGUGUUAUACAGUAAAUGUACAGCUGACAGAUCUACUGGACUCUCCACGGGAAGUGUAUACAUACACCCUGUCUGGAGAAUCUGUUUUUUGCAGAGCUGCAAGAACAUCUGUCCUUUGGAGAAGUCACUGUCAAUUGUGUGAAAAUCUUGUGAAAUCAUGGCGUUUCUCCCUUCUAUAGUAUCCCAGCAGUGUAUAAACCCGACUUUUUCUGUAGGGCAGCUGGAUACCUCCACCCACACCAUGAAGCCAUGGUGUGAAAAGGAUUCAGUCAAGUCCUCAUUCUCAUACUCAAAAUCUACAUAAAAAUAGUCCCCCACAGCCUUUCUUUAUUGACAGUAGUCACUGAUAAGAAAGGAGCCUCAUACAGGAGGUAAUAUGUCUGCUCUAACAGCCUCAUACAGGAGGUAAUAUGUCUGCUCUAACAGCCUCGUACAGGAGGUAAUAUGUCUGCUCUAACAGCCUCGUACAGGAGGUAAUAUGUCUGCUCUAACAGCAGGCUCAGGAAGGUGGACUCUCCUGGUCUUCUGCUCUGACUUCACAGGUACUAAUAUUCUGUAUUUACCCUUUACCUUGGUUUCAAUUAACAUAAGAUCAUAGCCCAGGAAAUUAACUGUUUAUACAGGGAAAAGGCCUGAGUCGCUAAAACUAGCUUCAGAGAGAAAAAAUUCUCACCUGGGCACCCUGCUGGAGUAAAAAGAAGAGAUUCCUUUUAACUCAACCAGCUAGACGCUAAUGCAAAUCAAGUCUUUGGGUCAGAACAGCUGCCAAGGCUGUGUUCCCAACUGCGGGGAAACUUCACAGCCACGCCCCCUCUGAUGCCUCCUUGCUAGAUCCACCUUGUGACCCUGUGAAAAUGCAUGCUUGAUAUCACUGUUCCCACCUAUGGUAUUGUUAACUUGUCUGUGUGCCUAUUAAACUGAAAGCUUUGUGGAGAUCACCCUUAUGCUGUACCCUUAUGUCUGAUGCUUUGCCCUUAUGCCUUAUGGCCUAAUGUUCAUCUU